rnacentral:rRNA from 1 species
AGUGAACGCUGGCGGUAGGCCUAACACAUGCAAGUCGAACGGCAGCACAGUAAGAGCUUGCUCUUACGGGUGGCGAGUGGCGGACGGGUGAGGAGUACAUCGGAAUCUACUUUUUCGUGGGGGAUAACGUAGGGAAACUUACGCUAAUACCGCAUACGACCUACGGGUGAAAGCAGGGGAUCUUCGGACCUUGCGCGAUUGAAUGAGCCGAUGUCGGAUUAGCUAGUUGGCGGGGUAAAGGCCCACCAAGGCGACGAUCCGUAGCUGGUCUGAGAGGAUGAUCAGCCACACUGGAACUGAAACACGGUCCAGACUCCUACGGGAGGCAGCAGUGGGGAAUAUUGGACAAUGGGCGCAAGCCUGAUCCAGCCAUACCGCGUGGGUGAAGAAGGCCUUCGGGUUGUAAAGCCCUUUUGUUGGGAAAGAAAAGCAGCAGGUUAAUACCCCGCUGUUCUGACGGUACCCAAAGAAUAAGCACCGGCUAACUUCGUG